CGCCGUGCAGUCGUUGACAAAUUUAUUGAGCUCGGUGACCAGCCGCUGGCAUGCGUGCCCGGAAGGUGAGAGAGGAAGAAACAACAACACUUCACACCAGGGUUUUUUUACAAUCGAACGCAACAGCGUUGUUUUCUUUAUUGCUCCGUUGCAUCGACUGUCGGUGUGACGGCUCGAGCUUGCAAGGACUUGCCUGGUUCAUGUUCCUAAGCGUCACUGUCUCUCUAUGUGGUAUACGACAAGGCACGCCCGUGUGUGCCCACUCGUGUGAAGACGGGCUGGAGCCGUGAGCUAGCUGGACCCCGUACUGGAACCACCGCAUUACGACGGGCCGUGGCUGUCUAUACAUGCCGGCGCUGCCGGCAUGGGAGCCUUUCGAGUCUCCGAGCGGUUGCACUGUGGCCGCAUCACCAACACCUCUUCUAUUCGUCCCCGUACACCUUGCUAUCACCU
rnacentral:lncRNA from 1 species